CGCCGGUUGAAGGAAUCUUAGAAGACAGGUUAAAAUCAUAUCUGAAUAGGAGAUUCAUCUGCACUGCAAAAUGGACAUAAAAUUAGAAAGUAACAACCAAAAAGCUAGCCAGAAAUAGCCUUUGGGGGAAUGUUUGAUGAUAUAUCAUGUUUUAGUACUUGUUCUUUUUUGUUCUUUCUCUUUUAUUUUGUCGACUAUUUUGGUUGCCAUUUUUCAUUAAAAUUUAAGGCCAAAGUGUAUAGGGUUAUAGGCUGCCUUUGUACUAAUAUUUGAACACAAUUUUUUUUAAACUGAGAAUUCAACUUUUGAUGAAUAACAGUAGUAUAAGUUUAGAACACGAUUCGCUCAUGUAUUACUCCAGUGCAGGAUGUAUACUUUCUUUUUUUGAUUUUUCUGCAAUUUUACUUAAAAGUUUGUAUUUAGAUGAAUCUCUCGCUCAUACUGUGAGCUUGAUGUUAACAAAAAAUUCUAAUUCAAAAUUGAAGUCAUAUCGCUUAUGUAAAAUGUUCAAAAUUUUCUCUUCUCUUCCAAUGUUUCAACAAAAAAAUAUCCAAAGAGUGAAUUUCACGGCCACCAAUAUGUGGCGGGAUAAAAAGUAGUUCUACACCCUUAAUUAGAUUUUGGAUUUUUUUUUUUUAAAUUAAGACCCCGAGGGGUUGUUGUGUAUUAAUCAAAAGUAAAGAGGUUCAAAUCGUAGAGGUCCAAAGAAAUAAAAACAGAAAGUGUAAAAACAGAAUGAGAAAGUAAAGCUUUGUGAAAUCCUUAAAUUGGUGCGAUUUCUCUGCAAUGUCGGCUCUUCUUCUUCGAUUCCUCAUAUUGAGCUGGAUUUCGGCCUUCUUCAAUCUUGUCUUGAGCUUCCUGAUGCAUAUGCUUGCCUAUUCCCCACGUCUGAAGCUGUAUGUGCACGUUGUUUCCUCUUUUUGUCGACUUGGCAUUGCUCAGGUGACCCACUCUUUUCCUCUCACAUUUUAUCUUUCUUUUGCUCUGUAUAUCACCUGAAAAUUGUUUUCUUGCAUCUUCAUGAACCAUCCGAGCUCUAUCCAUCUCAAACUCUCCCAGAUCUGCUUCGGACCUCUGUAUGAGCUUGGAUAUCGCUUCAUCUCCUGUUGAAUCUAGAGGUGCUUCUCCUGCUGGUAUGCAUGUUGUGGUGAUUCCACCAUUGAAGCUGAUAGGAGCUUGAUGGUGCUACUCAUUUUUGUUGAUUCAUCCGCACCUCUGAAGAAUGUCAUAUGACAAGAUACUGGGCCUACCAGACAAAGAAUAAUGUCAUGAAGCUAUAAUCUUUCAAUAAGCAAUGCUGGGACACCGAUUUCAACAAACUGUCAUAGACAUUUUUUCCCGAAGGAUUCACUCGUUCAAGGUAUUAAUUACCUAUAUACUUGAGUCUACUUGACGUUAGGUUAGCAAUGAAUUAUAGACAGAAAAUUAAGUUUAUCGAUUUCUUUGAGGUUUAGAGCUCCACAGGAUAAGAUAUGAAGCAAAAGAUAAGCUUCUGAACAAUAAGAAUGAGAUGAAUCGACUGAGACAACCAAAGAAUAAUUCAGGAACAACUCACAAAAAGAAGACAUUUGUUAAAUUGCCACUCUGGAAGAAUUAGAAUGAUACAAAUUAAAAACUAUCUGCCCCCAAUAAAACUAGUGACUUGAUUUGAAAUACUCUCACCACCCUAAAUUCACAUAAGGUAGGCAUAGAAAAUAAAUGGAGUUCAGACUGUAAAUUUAUAAUGGCACGAUAUUUUUACAUUUAUUUGUCCAUCUUUGUGUUUAUACCGAUGUGUCUGGGAUAAAUUGUAUGUUCACCAUUCGAUUAUUGACGUGUUAUGCUGCAUUGGUAUUAAUAUAAUUUUAAAAGUAGUCUAAAUAUCAUAUAUUUUUAGGACAAAAAAUACACGUUGAUUAAUCAAAUGUUAAAUAUGCUGAGUCAAAUAUUUCAAGGACCAAAAAUAAAAAUUACCAAUACUUGAGAGGUUAAAAGUGCAAUUAUUUCAACUAAAUAGUAUUAUAGUAAGAGUGUUAUAGUACAUUUCUAAGUAUAUCAUUAUGUGUGUAUUUAGGGGUAGUUUGAUAGCGGGUUUAGAGGUGA